AUACUCUGGUUUCUCUUCAGAUCGCAUAAAUCUUUCUCCUUUUACUAAAGAUUUCCGUGGAGAGUUUCUCAAAGUUCAUUCCUCCCCAUUCUCUUUAUCUUUCUGGAACUCCAGUUG
ensembl:snRNA U5 U5 spliceosomal RNA